AAUUGUCGUCGCCCCGGCGGAGGCCGGGGCCCCCACAGGCAUGUAUGAGACGUCAUCCCAGGAUCGUGGCGGCCCCGGCCUCCGCCGGGGCGACGUUAUGG
rnacentral:pre_miRNA from 1 species